ACGAACGCUGGCGGCGUGCCUAAUACAUGCAAGUCGAACGGUCUUUCUAUGGAAGCUUGCUUCCACUGAGAAGAUAGUGGCGGACGGGUGAGUAACACGUGGGUAACCUGCCCAUAAGAGGGGGAUAACAUCCGGAAACGGGUGCUAAUACCGCAUAGUUUUCUUGAUCGCAUGAUCGAGAAAGGAAAGACGGCCUUUGUGCUGUCGCUUAUGGAUGGACCCGCGGCGUAUUAGUUAGUUGGUGAGGUAAUGGCUCACCAAGACGAUGAUACGUAGCCGACCUGAGAGGGUGAUCGGCCACAUUGGGACUGAGACACGGCCCAAACUCCUACGGGAGGCAGCAGUAGGGAAUCUUCCGCAAUGGACGAAAGUCUGACGGAGCAACGCCGCGUGAGUGAAGAAAGGUUUUCGGAUCGUAAAACUCUGUUGUCAGAGAAGAACAAGUUGGAGAGUAACUGCUCCAGCCUUGACGGUAUCUGACCAGAAAGCCACGGCUAACUACGUGCCAGCCGCCGC
rnacentral:rRNA from 1 species